UACGAAGGGGGCGAGCGUUGUUCGGAUUUACUGGGCGUAAAGGGCGCGCAGGCGGCAGAUCAAGUCAGACGUGAAAGCCCCGGGCUCAACCUGGGAACUGCAUUUGAAACUGGCGGGCUUGAGUGUGGCAGAGGGGGGUGGAAUUCCGGGUGUAGCGGUGGAAUGCGUAGAGAUCCGGAGGAACACCAGAGGCGAAGGCGGCAUUCUGGACGACAUCAGACGCUGAGACGCGACAGCACGGGGAGCGAACGGG
rnacentral:rRNA from 1 species